UGAGCAUUAGUAAGGGCGGCUUGUGUCUCAGCCGCCUCUAUUGUCUGCAUUUGCAAGAGCGGCUCAAUCUAGAACCGCCCCUACAGUUAUUUUUCAGAAAAAAAUAAAAAUCACAAUAAUCGAGUUGACAGCACAACACAGCACCACAUACAUAUAUACAUAUAUAAUCAGACUCUCAACAUCACAGAUUCACAACAUAAAUAUCCAUACAUAUACACAGCACCACAUUUCAAGUCCAAAAUGUUUCCAAGUCCAUUACAAAUCCAUCCAAAAGAGUCCGAAAUUUUUCAUGUACUAAUACAAAUCGAUCACAGUCCAUUCCAACAAGUUCACAUGUAAUCAACGACCUAGACAUAGCCUAUGCCACUGACGGAGGUGCUGGUAAAGAGGAUGCUACC
rnacentral:lncRNA from 1 species